rnacentral:rRNA from 1 species
AAUGAACGCUGGCGGCGUGUCUUAAGCAUGCAAGUCGUGCGGCAAGGGUAGCAAUACCCCUAGAGCGGCGGACUGGUGAGUAACGCGUGGGUGAUCUGCCUCUGGGAUGGGGAUAGCCACUAGAAAUAGUGGGUAAUACCGAAUACGUUCACCGGACUGUGGUUUGGUGAGGAAAGGCGCUUCGGCGCCACCCGGAGAUGAGCCCGCGUCCCAUUAGCUAGUUGGUGAGGUAAAAGCCCACCAAGGCGAUGAUGGGUAGGCGGCCUGAGAGGGUGUACGCCCACACUGGGACUGAGAUACGGCCCAGACUCCUACGGGAGGCAGCAGCUAAGAAUAUUCCGCAAUGGACGAAAGUCUGACGGAGCGACGCCGCGUGGAUGAAGAAGGCCGAAAGGUUGUAAAAUCCUUUUGUUGGGGAAGAAUAAGCGUGGGAGGGAAUGCCCGCGUGAUGACAUGAACCGACGAAUAAGUCCCGGCUAACUACGUG